AUACGUAGGGGGCGAGCGUUGUCCGGAAUGAUUGGGCGUAAAGGGCGCGUAGGCGGCCCGGUAAGUCUGGAGUGAAAGUCCUGUUUUUAAGAUGGGAAUUGCUUUGGAUACUGUCGGGCUUGAGUGCAGGAGAGGUAAGUGGAAUUCCCAGUGUAGCGGUGAAGUGCGUAGAGAUUGGGAGGAACACCAGUGGCGAAGGCGACUUACUGGACUGUAACUGACGCUGAGGCGCGAAAGUGUGGGGAGCAAACAGGAUUAGAUACCCUGGUAGUCCACACUGUAAACGAUGAAUGCUAGGUGUAGGGGGUAUCGACCCCUUCUGUGCCGCAGUCAACACAAUAAGCAUUCCGCCUGGGGAGUACGGCCGCAAGGUUGAAACUCAAAUGAAUGACGGGG
rnacentral:rRNA from 1 species